AGCCCUUCGGGGUGGAUUAGUGGCGAACGGGUGAGUAACACGUGGGCAAUCUGCCCUUCACUCUGGGACAAGCCCUGGAAACGGGGUCUAAUACCGGAUAACACUCUGUCCCGCAUGGGACGGGGUUAAAAGCUCCGGCGGUGAAGGAUGAGCCCGCGGCCUAUCAGCUUGUUGGUGGGGUAAUGGCCUACCAAGGCGACGACGGGUAGCCGGCCUGAGAGGGCGACCGGCCACACUGGGACUGAGACACGGCCCAGACUCCUACGGGAGGCAGCAGUGGGGAAUAUUGCACAAUGGGCGAAAGCCUGAUGCAGCGACGCCGCGUGAGGGAUGACGGCCUUCGGGUUGUAAACCUCUUUCAGCAGGGAAGAAGCGAAAGUGACGGUACCUGCAGAAGAAGCGCCGGCUAACUACGUGCCAGCAGCCGCGGUAAUACGUAGGGCGCAAGCGUUGUCCGGAAUUAUUGGGCGUAAAGAGCUCGUAGGCGGCUUGUCACGUCGGAUGUGAAAGCCCGGGGCUUAACCCCGGGU
rnacentral:rRNA from 1 species